rnacentral:rRNA from 1 species
UGGGGAAUAUUGGACAAUGGGCGCAAGCCUGAUCCAGCCAUGCCGCGUGAGUGAUGAAGGCCCUAGGGUUGUAAAGCUCUUUCACCGGUGAAGAUAAUGACGGUAACCGGAGAAGAAGCCCCGGCUAACUUCGUGCCAGCAGCCGCGGUAAUACGAAGGGGGCUAGCGUUGUUCGGAUUUACUGGGCGUAAAGCGCACGUAGGCGGACUAUUAAGUCAGGGGUGAAAUCCCGGGGCUCAACCCCGGAACUGCCUUUGAUACUGGUAGUCUUGAGUUCGAGAGGGGUGAGUGGAAUUCCGAGUGUAGAGGUGAAAUUCGUAGAUAUUCGGAAGAACACCAGUGGCGAAGGCGGCUCACUGGCUCGAUACUGACGCUGAGGUGCGAAAGCGUGGGGAGCAAACAGG